GGACGGGUGAGUAACACGUGGAUAACCUACCUAUAAGACUGGGAUAACUUCGGGAAACCGGAGCUAAUACCGGAUAAUAUUUUGAACCGCAUGGUUCAAAAGUGAAAGACGGUCUUGCUGUCACUUAUAGAUGGAUCCGCGCUGCAUUAGCUAGUUGGUAAGGUAACGGCUUACCAAGGCAACGAUGCAUAGCCGACCUGAGAGGGUGAUCGGCCACACUGGAACUGAGACACGGUCCAGACUCCUACGGGAGGCAGCAGUAGGGAAUCUUCCGCAAUGGGCGAAAGCCUGACGGAGCAACGCCGCGUGAGUGAUGAAGGUCUUCGGAUCGUAAAACUCUGUUAUUAGGGAAGAACAUAUGUGUAAGUAACUGUGCACAUCUUGACGGUACCUAAUCAGAAAGCCACGGCUAACUACGUGCCAGCAGCCGCGGUAAUACGUAGGUGGCAAGCGUUAUCCGGAAUUAUUGGGCGUAAAGCGCGCGUAGGCGGUUUUUUAAGUCUGAUGUGAAAGCCCACGGCUCAACCGUGGAGGGUCAUUGGAAACUGGAAAACUUGAGUGCAGAAGAGGAAAGUGGAAUUCCAUGUGUAGCGGUGAAAUGCGCAGAGAUAUGGAGGAACACCAGUGGCGAAGGCGACUUUCUGGUCUGUAACUGACGCUGAUGUGCGAAAGCGUGGGGAUCAAACAGGAUUAGAUACCCUGGUAGUCCACGCCGUAAACGAUGAGUGCUAAGUGUUAGGGGGUUUCCGCCC
rnacentral:rRNA from 1 species